CAGCCGCCGCGGUAAUACCGGCGGCUCGAGUGGUGGCCACUUUUAUUGGGCUUAAAGCGUUCGUAGCUGGGUUGCUAAGUCCCUUGGGAAAUCCGACAGCUUAACUGUCGGGCGUCUAAGGGAUACUGGUAAUCUUGGAACCGGGAGAGGUGAGGGGUACUUCGGGGGUAGGAGUGAAAUCCUGUAAUCCUCGAGGGACCACCUGUGGCGAAGGCGCCUCACCAGAACGGCUUCGACAGUGAGGGACGAAAGCUGGGGGAGCAAACCGGAUUAGAUACCCGGGUAGUCCCAGCCGUAAACGAUGUGCGUUAGGUGUAUCGGUGACCACGAGUCACCGAGGUGCCGAAGGGAAACCGUGAAACGUACCGCCUGGGAAGUACGGUCGCAAGGCUGAAACUUAAAGGAAUUGGCGGGGGAGCACCACAACAGGUGGAGCCUGCGGUUUAAUUGGACUCAACGCCGGAAAUCUCACCGGAUAAGACAGCUGAAUGAUUGUCGGGCUGAAGACUCUACAUGACUAGCUGAGAGGUGGUGCAUGGCC
rnacentral:rRNA from 1 species